CGUACGGCUGCAAGAAUUGUACGGUGUCCCUGAGAAGAGUUUAGUCCCAUAUCGUCUAAAUGCGUAAAAAAAUAGCCUUUAUCAGAUAAGUCUUGUUGUUUGGUGUCGUCUCUUCGGAGACAUCUGAUAAAAUUGGAACGAUACAGAGAAGAUUAGCAUGGCCCCUGCGCAAGGAUGACACGCACAAAUCGAGAAAUGGUCCAAAUUUUUUUCCCCUUUCCCCAAUUCUGAUCUCAGCUUGCUGUUAUCUAUCUCUUGUGCUUCUUUUUUUUAAUUUCGAUCUGAUCUGAAGGUGAUCUCGUUCUCUUCUGCUUCCUUUUCGACUUCGUCGAUCUUUCUCUUUUGCUUCUUUUUCUAGUUUCGAUCUGAUCUGAAGGUGAUCUCGUUCUCUUCUGCUUCCUUUUCGACUUCGUCGAUCUUUCUCUUUUGCUUAUUUUUCUAGUUUCGAUCUGAUCUGAAGGUGAUCUCUUUCUCUUUUGCUUCCUUUUUCGAUUUCGUCAAUUUAUACCAGCCGUGAAGACACACCAGGUGAUGUCGCAAACCCUAGAGUCUCAUCUGCUUCCAAACCCUAGAAUUGCAUGUGCUUUUUUUUUAUUAUUAUUUUUUUAAAAUUAUGGAAGAUCAUCUUGGAAAUUGAUUGGAGCCCCAAUAAUGUUCUUAUUUUUCUCUGAAUUUCUAGCUUUAAUUUUCAUCAUGAUGAUGGUAUCUGCCCUAAAAUCUCAUGUGCCUUUUGCUUUUCUUUUCCUUUUCUUCCCCUUUUCACAUGCUAGCGAACAACAAUAGCACCUGAAUGGAGCUCCAACAAUGUUUUUGUUCAUUUAUAAGCAUUAUGCUUCAGGGAUCCAUUCUGUCUUUUCUUUCCUCACUUAGAUUAGUUGGGAACUGCUUGAACCCGAAGCACUAGAAGCUCAUCCUCUAUAUGCAAUGUUCGGUGAUAAACUGUAGAUGCAAAGAUUAUAUUUGUAGAGAGUUGGCACCUUAUUAUUGGGUUUUGUUUCGAAAUCUGUCAAAAUUUUAGAAGUCUGCUAUCUUAUGAUAGUUGCCUCUUUUGCCCACUUCGAUUGGGGAUUUACCCUUUUCUUUUAUCCUCUUUGAAAUGGAGGGCUCAUAGCUAGCUGUCGAUUCCUCUUAUUGGAUAGAUAGUUGGUGUAGGUGAACUGAUGCUCAUGAAUAGAAAUUUAGUUCUCUUAGAAUGGAAAUUAACCAAACAAUCUUUUAUGAUGGGAUCACAGACUGUGGAAAUGUGCUUCAAUUGAAACAAAUUCCUGGCUGCUUUCAAUAUAAGGAUUGCAAGCACUGUAAACUAGGCAGGACUUCAUUGAGAAAUGUGAAGUGGUCUUUGACGAAUCAGAAACAUGUUACUUGUUUUAUAGGUUCAUCUACAUUUUAGAUGAAUAGGUUUAGGAAUAUGCUUCAGAGUUUGUAGAAGACUUGAUAACACGUGUGAUAACAGGUUAUAUUCUGAAUUUGUCAGGACCCUCCACAGACUGCUUGACUAGGGAAGAAAGAUGGUUCGAGAGGAGCAAGUGCAAUUCACAGGAUUCGUGCUCACCACAAUCACGUCGCCAAGGUAGUCACUGAAUCUUUCGCGAAAACUUCUCAUGAAGUCUGCAUAGACUUGGAUGGGAGUUCUGCCCCUCAGGACUGGCAGUGUGUCGCAGCCUAAGGAGAUAUACUCUGGGUUCCUCCUUCCUGACCUGUCCGUGUAUACGAUAUCUGGAUCUUUGCUCAUUUCCUCAAGAACCCAUGGUGGUAAUGGUAUGCUGCAAAACAUUCCCAUUCAGGAGUGGUGAGUUUUGAGAUAUGAAACAAAGAAAAGCUUUAGAAUCUUUCUUUUCUGAACAAACCAUGAACAAGGGAGAGAUUAUAUUAGAAAAAUGUUCAUCUAAUAAUCAGAUUCAGUCUUAGUUUUUCUCAUCUCAGAAUUUAAUUUUAUGUUAAGUAGUAACAGUGAUUAGAGUCGCAGCCUUUAAAACCUGUGCCUUAAGUACCGCAGUUUCUAAGACUCAAAAUAAGGCUCAAAUCAUUUUCUGUUUCUUAUAAGUCUUAUCAUUAAAGAUGAAAGGAAUUAUUUGUCUGGGAAUUGAUUGCUACCAGUUUUUGUUAAUGAAAUGUUUUCUUUCUUGGCAAAGAGGAAAAAAAGAGAGGAAUGCUUCUCUUUUCUUUCCCUUACCUUUUUCUUUCCUUUUCUUUUUCUUUUUUGACUGGGGAGUCAUAAUAAAAUUGCUUUAUUGUGGGAACAAUAAAAGCCACUAAAGUAAAUAUAAAAAAGGACAGGUUAAAGGGAAUGCUUCUCUUUUCUUUCCCCUACCUUUCUUUUUCUUUUUCUUUUUCGACUGGGAGUCAUAACAAAAUUGCUCUCUUGUGGGAACAAUAAAAGCCACUAAAGUAAAUAUAAAAAAGAAAAGGUUUUUUAAUCGGUUAAAAUAAAGGGAAAAAAAAAUCUUCUAAAACGUAACAGAUUAAAAUUGUAGGUGAAGAGUGAAGACGGUCUAGUAGAAGAGAGACAUAAACAGCAAAUCGGACUGGGUACCGUGGGGUCUUUAAGAAGAAUUCAGAAGUCUGGUUGUCUCCAAAAUGGUUAGGAAGCCAAAGGAGAUAGCUGCUAGAAUGGUAAUAUGAUGAGCGCCUUCUUAGAGGAGACUAAUCUUGUAAAAAAGGGAAACCUAUCAUUAUUAAGAGAAACUUCAUUUGAACCACCACUUGAUCAUCCAUGGAUUAAAUGUCAGAGGUGAAUAAGAGCAGGAUUGUUUGAUUUACCAUGAAUAGCAAUUUUUGAUUGUUUGAUUU